rnacentral:rRNA from 1 species
UGGGGAAUAUUGGACAAUGGGCGAAAGCCUGAUCCAGCAAUGCCGCGUGAGUGAUGAAGGCCUUCGGGUUGUAAAGCUCUUUUACCAGGGAUGAUAAUGACAGUACCUGGAGAAUAAGUUCCGGCUAACUCCGUGCCAGCAGCCGCGGUAAUACGGAGGGAACUAGCGUUGUUCGGAAAUACUGGGCGUAAAGCGCACGUAGGCGGCGCUGCAAGUCAGGGGUGAAAUCCCGGGGCUCAACCUCGGAACUGCCCUUGAAACUGCAGUGCUAGAAUCCUGGAGAGGCGAGUGGAAUUCCGAGUGUAGAGGUGAAAUUCGUAGAUAUUCGGAAGAACACCAGUGGCGAAGGCGACUCGCUGGACAGGUAUUGACGCUGAGGUGCGAAAGCGUGGGGAGCAAA